rnacentral:rRNA from 1 species
AGCGAACGCUGGCGGCAGGCCUAACACAUGCAAGUCGAACGGAUCCUUCGGGAUUAGUGGCGGACGGGUGAGUAGCACGUGGGAACGUGCCCUUUGUUUCGGAACCACUCAGGGAAACCUGAGCUAAUACCGGAUGUGCCCUUCGGGGGAAAGAGUUAUCGCCAUUGGAGCGGCCGGCGCUUGAUUAGCUAGUUGGUAGUGUAACGGCCCACCAAGGCGACGAUCAGUAGCUGGUCUGAGCGGAUGAUCAGCCACAUUGGGAAUGAGAAAGGGCCCAAACUCCUACGGGAGGCAGCAGUGGGGAAUCUUGCGCAAUGGGCGAAAGCCUGACGUAGCAAUGCCGCGUGAAUGAUGAAGGUCUUAGGAUUGUAAAAUUCUUUCACCGGGGACGAUAAUGACGGUACCCGGAGAAGAAGCCCCGGCUAACUUCGUGCCAGCCGCCGCCGUAAGAC